AAGAAAAAUCUUUCGAGCUAGGGCAUGCUCUUACAGCUAGGAUAUGUGAUUUUCUUGAUGAAAGAAAGACAAAUUGCUUCGGGCAGUUUUCAGAACAAAGUGGAUUGGUUGCAGUAACGAAUUUUCAGAUGCAAGAGAUACAAACUUGACUCAGAGACAGGGUCUUGUUGGAGGAUGCGGAGGCAUUUAAAAAUUCAAUGCAAGAGAAGGCACGGUAUACAGGAAGGAAGCAAAACCAAAAUCUUGUGAUUACCGUUUCUGCAGCACGCUGGACACUUGGCGAUUCAAUAGGUGGCAUUUAUAGAGCAGUUCACAUGCCUGGUCUUUGUUAUAACAUUUUGCAUACAUGCGAGGGUGCGAGGGAGGUUAUAGAUUGAAGGAUUUUGUUUACUAUGAGCUGUGCUCAUUUUCGUCCAAUAGCUGUACAAAUUGUCCCAAGGAUUUAUUGGUGUUGGCUAGAAAAUCAGAGAGUUUCAGAUGCCCAGAUCAUUCAUCUCAUGGCACGAAGAAGUCUUAGGCUGAUCUGUUGACAACUUCUUUCAGAUGCUUUUGAUGGUUUUGAGGCUGAUGUUGAUGGAAAUGGUUGUGUUCCCUUUGAUAAACCCAGCAGCUCUAAGAAGGUUUGUAAAAGCAAGGGAUCAGUGUCUAGUGUAGCUCGUGUCCUCUAUUUUGAUGGAUGCCUAGAUUCUGGGGAUGAAAACCACCGCUUGGUUUCCAAUGGUGGCACCGUAUGUAGUUUGGCAAAUAAAGGCCUACAUGAUCUUUCACAAGCUCUGAUGUGGGCUGAAGAAACUCCAAUGAAACAUCAGUACAAAAUCCCACUUGCACCCUCACUUGAAAUUUUGAAUCAAGAAAAUUUAGCGCCAACAAAGACUAGAUCAAAGUUGACUGUUCGAGGCCUGUUGAAGCAUAACUGCACUGCAGCAAAUAAUCACUACUUCAAGGAUGUCUUUUUCAAGACUUUCUUACGUUACAAGAACUUAUAAGAAACAAUAUUAUAAACACAACUUGAAUCGAACAGCAUAUAUGUAGGUGAGUAGACAACAAGAAUACCUAUAGUUUACAAUGGAGGCAAGAGACAAUCUUGCAUUUUGUAUUAUUUGUAAGAGAAUUCGUCUUUCUUGCUCACAAAUAUUCUGGACUAAUUCAUGAAUGUUCUCGCCUCCAUAUUUAUUAAGUACAUGUGGUUUCGUCAUGUUGGCGACGUCUAUCAUAAUGACAUCAAUGUCGGGGACGUCUUAAACUUAUCGGACAGUUUACUGAAAAGCUUCACAUAAGCCUUAGGUUUAUUACAUAGAAUACCCAGCUUCCUCACAUGCUGUUAAAUUUUGUUAUAUUAUCUUCCCAUGAUUUGAAAUAUUGGCUAUUGGAUUCUGUUUAUAUAUUUGUGGAAACUGCUUCCAGCUCUACAUAUUCUAUGUAACUUCAGAUUGUUGGCCUUAUUUUCUCCAAAAAGCGGUUGCUUGCUAGCAGCAAACAGGGAAUCCUGUAUGCAAUGCUCUAUUUGGAUCAUAUGAUAUUUUCUUUUCGAAGUGAUUCCUUGAAGGGCGUAUUCAUAUUAACAACUAGGUUUUUCGAGCGAGAUGUAAAAACUACUAUUUGUGCACAUCUAUAAAUGUCCCACCUUUCCUUAGCGCAUGAGGAUGUAGUUUUUUUAACAAAUAUGGCAACUUGAGACUUAUCGACAAUCAAUUUUAUGUUCAUGUGUACAACUAGGAUCUUACGGGAGUACCAUACAAGCAUCUCAAAUAUUUGACUGACAAAG